rnacentral:rRNA from 1 species
AUGCAAGACUAUUUCGCGGAGAAUCCUACAUAUCCUCCGCACCUCUUCCGGAGGAGGUACCGAAUGUGCCGAUCUCUCUUUGUGAAAAUUGUUGAAGCUUGCGAGGCAAAUUGCCGGUAUUUUACUCAAAGAAGAAAUGUUGUGGGCUUAAAGGGAUUUAGUGCAUAUCAAAAAAUCUAUGCAGCUAUGCGGGUGAUUGCAUAUGGCGUUCCGGCUGACUAUGCCGAUGAGUACCUUCGCAUUGGUGAAGAUAGCACAAUUGAGUCUGUGCGUAGAUUUGCGAAAGUGAUCAUCCGUGUCUUCGCUCCUGAGUAUCUUCGGGCACCAAUGAAGAUGACACAAAGAAAUUGA